CGAACGGGUGAGUAACACGUGGGUAACCUCCCCCCGAGUGAGGGAUAACCUCGCGAAAGCGGGGCUAAUACCGCAUAAUACCUCGGCGCAUAAGCGUUCGGGGUCAAAGCCGCAAGGCGCUUGGGGAUGGGCCCGCGUCCUAUCAGCUAGUUGGUAGGGUAAUGGCCUACCAAGGCGAUGACGGGUAGCCGGCCUGAGAGGGUGUCCGGCCACACUGGGACUGAGACACGGCCCAGACUCCUACGGGAGGCAGCAGUGAGGAAUAUUGCGCAAUGGGCGAAAGCCUGACGCAGCGACGCCGCGUGGGGGAUGAAGGCCUUCGGGUUGUAAACCCCUGUCAGAGGGGAAGAAGCCCCGCAAGGGGUUGACGGUACCCUCAGAGGAAGCCCCGGCUAACUACGUGCCAGCAGCCGCGGUAAUACGUAGGGGGCAAGCGUUACUCGGAAUUACUG
rnacentral:rRNA from 1 species